UGAUUCUCCGACCAACGGGGGGGAAAGAGUGAUGAAGUUUUCUCCGGAUCGGGGGGGGAAAAAAUGUUGGGAAAACAAGUGCAAAGUAACUGCUUGCUUUUUUUUCCCCGGUACCUAACCAGAAAGCCACGGCUAACUACGUGCCAGCAGCCGCGGUAAUACGGUAGGU
rnacentral:rRNA from 1 species